AGAGUUUGAUCAUGGCUCAGAACGUACGCUGGCGGCACGCCUAACACAUGCAAGUCGAACGAAGUAGCAAUACUUAGUGGCAGACGGGUGAGUAACAUGUAGGUAUCUGCCCUUUGGCCUGGAAUAACACGAGGAAACUUGUGCUAAUACUGGAUAAGUCUUUACGGAGAAAGCUUUAUGCACCAUUGGAUGAGCCUGCACUUGAUUAGUUUGUUGGUAGGGUAAUGGCCUACCAAGACUUUGAUCAAUAGCUGAUUUGAGAGGAUGAUCAGCCACAUUGGGACUGAGACACGGCCCAAACUCCUACGGGAGGCAGCAGUGGGGAAUCUUGCACAAUGGAGGAAACUCUGAUGCAGCGAUGCCGCGUGAGUGAAGAAGGCCUUUGGGUUGUAAAGCUCUUUCGUCGGGGAAGAAAAUGACUGUACCCGAAUAAGAAGGUCCGGCUAACUUCGUGCCAGCAGCCGCGGUAAUACGAAGGGACCUAGCGUAGUUCGGAAUUACUGGGCUUAAGGAGUUCGUAGGUGGUUGAAAAAGUUGGUGGUGAAAUCCCAGAGCUUAACUCUGGAACUGCCAUCAAAACUUUUCAGCUAGAGUUUGAUAGAGGAAAGCAGAAUUUCUAGUGUAGAGGUGAAAUUCGUAGAUAUUAGAAAGAAUACCAAUUGCGAAGGCAGCUUUCUGGAUCAUUACUGACACUGAGGAACGAAAGCAUGGGUAGCGAAGAGGAUUAGAUACCCUCGUAGUCCAUGCCGUAAACGAUGUGUGUUAGACGUUGGAGAUUUAUUUUCAGUGUCGCAGCGAAAGCGAUAAACACACCGCCUGGGGAGUACGACCGCAAGGUUAAAACUCAAAUGAAUUGACGGGGACCCGCACAAGUAGUGGAGCAUGUGGUUUAAUUCGAAGAUACGCGCAGAACCUUACCAACACUUGACAUGUUCGUCGCGACUUUAAGAGAUUAAAGUUUUCGGUUCGGCCGGACGAAACACAGGUGCUGCAUGGCUGUCGUCAGCUCGUGUCGUGAGAUGUUGGGUUAAGUCCCGCAACGAGCGCAACCCUCACUUUUAGUUGCCAUCAUUUAGUUGGGCACUCUGGAAGAACUGCCAGUGAUAAGCUGGAGGAAGGUGGGGAUGACGUCAAGUCCUCAUGGCCCUUACGUGUUGGGCUACACACGUGCUACAAUGGUAUCUACAACAGGAAGCAAAACGGCGACGUUAAGCAAAUCCUUAAAAGAUACCUCAGUUCGGAUUGCACUCUGCAACUCGAGUGCAUGAAGCUGGAAUUACUAGUAAUCGUGGAUCAGCGUGCCACGGUGAAUGCGUUCCCGGGUUCUUGUACACACCGCCCGUAAU
rnacentral:rRNA from 1 species